rnacentral:rRNA from 1 species
AGGAUAAACGCUGGCGGCGUGCCUAACACAUGCAAGUCGAACGCCCUUUAGCUUCGCAAGGAGUGGGAGGGAGUGGCGGACGGGUGAGGAACACGUGGGUGACCUACCUUUCAGUGAGGAAUACCGGCGAGAAAUCGCCGACAAGACCGCAUACGCUUCUCUGUUCAAUCGGGGAAGGAAAGCUUUUUCGCAAGAGGAGGCGCUGGAAGAUGGGCCUGCGGCCGAUUAGCUAGCUGGUGGGGUAACGGCCUACCAGGGCGACGAUCGGUAGC